rnacentral:rRNA from 1 species
GACGGGGGAUGCAAGCGUUAUCCGGAAUCACUGGACGUAAAGCGUCUGUAGGUGGUGAUGCAAGUCACUGGUGCAAAACUCUGGCUCAACCGGAGGAAAGCCAGUGAAACUGCAUGACUAGAGUGUGGGAGAGGUAGAAGGAAUUCCCUGAGUAGCGGUGAAAUGGGUAGAUACAGGGAAGAACACCGGAGGCGAAAGCGUUCUACUGGAACACAACUGACACUGAUAGACGAAAGCUAGGGGAGCGAAUGGG